GAUGAACGCUGGCGGCGUGCCUAAUACAUGCAAGUCGAGCGAACAGACGAGGAGCUUGCUCCUCUGACGUUAGCGGCGGACGGGUGAGUAACACGUGGAUAACCUACCUAUAAGACUGGGAUAACUUCGGGAAACCGGAGCUGAUACCGGAUAAUAUAUUGAACCGCAUGGUUCAAUAGUGAAAGACGGUUUUGCUGUCACUUAUAGAUGGAUCCGCGCCGCAUUAGCUAGAUGGUAAGGUAACGGCUUACCAAGGCAACGAUGCGUAGCCGACCUGAGAGGGUGAUCGGCCACACUGGAACUGAGACACGGUCCAGACUCCUACGGGAGGCAGCAGUAGGGAAUCUUCCGCAAUGGGCGAAAGCCUGACGGAGCAACGCCGCGUGAGUGAUGAAGGUCUUCGGAUCGUAAAACUCUGUUAUUAGGGAAGAACAAAUGUGUAAGUAACUAUGCACGUCUUGACGGUACCUAAUCAGAAAGCCACGGCUAACUACGUG
rnacentral:rRNA from 1 species